rnacentral:lncRNA from 1 species
CCUGAGGCCUUUCUAUAAUCAUUAAGUACAUGUGCGGAGAUCUAAUAAUAGGUCUCUGAUCAGUCAUAGUAUGCAUGUGUUCCUUGCCUUAAUAGUUGCACAAACUCAAUAUGAAAAUACAUGUGCAUUUGCUUAGAAAAGAAAGUAAUAGAAUAAAUCAAAUGCAAAAACAAGUUUUUUUUUUUUGCAAGAUAUUUCCCUCCC